UGUGAGGGUUAACAGACAGUAGUCAGGCUUGCCUUUCAGUCAGGUGUCAGUGUGAGGGUUAACAGACAGUAGUCAGGCUUGCCUUUCAGUCAGUUGUCAGUGUGAGGGUUAACAGACAGUAGUCAGGAAUGGUCUUCAGUCAGGUGUCAGUGUGAGGGUUAACAGACAGUAGUCAGGCUUGCCUUUCAGUCAGGUGUCAGUGUGAGGGUUAACAGACAGUAGUCAGGCUUUCCUUUCAGUCAGGUGUCAGUGUGAGGGUUAACAGACAGUAGUCAGGAAUGAUCUUCAGUCAGGUGUCAGUGUGAGGGUUAACAGACAGUAGUCAGUCUUGCUUUUCAGCCAGGUGUCAGUGUGAGGGUUAACAGACAGUAGUCAGGCUUGCCUUUCAGUCAGGUGUCAGUGUGAGGGUUAACAGACAGUAGUCAGGCUUGAUCUUCAGUCAGGUGUCAGUGUGAGGGUUAACAGACAGUAGUCAGGCUUGCCUUUCAGUCAGGUGUCAGUGUGAGGGUUAUAAGACAGUAGUCAGGAAUGGUCUUCAGUCAGGUGUCAGUGUGAGGGUUAACAGACAGUAGUCAGGCUUGCCUUUCAGUCAGGUGUCAGUGUGAGGGUUAACAGACAGUAGUCAGGCUUGCCUUUCAGUCAGGUGUCAGUGUGAGGGUUAACAGACAGUAGUCAGGCUUGCAUUUCAGUCAGGUGUCAGUGUGAGUGUUAACAGACAGUAGUCAGGCUUGCCUUUCAGUCAGGUGUCAGUGUGAGGGUUAAAAGACAGUAGGCAGGCUUGCCUUUCAGUCAGGUGUCAGUGUGAGGGUUAACAGACAGUAGUCAGGCUUGCCUUUCAGUCAGGUGUCAGUGUGAGGGUUAACAUACAGUAGUCAGGCUUGCCUUUCAGUCAGGUGUCAGUGUGAGGGUUAACAGACAGUAGUCAGGAAUGAUCUUCAGUCAGGUGUCAGUGUGAGGGUUAACAGACAGUAGUCAGGCUUGCCUUUCAGUCAGGUGUCAGUGUGAGGGUUAACAGACAGUAGUCAGGCUUGCCUUUCAGUCAGGUGUCAGUGUGAGGGUUAACAGACAGUAGUCAGGCUUGCCUUUCAGUCAGUUGUCAGUGUGAGGGUUAACAGACAGUAGUCAGGAAUGAUCUUCAGUCAGGUGUCAGUGUGAGGGUUAACAGACAGUAGUCAGGCUUGCAUUUUAGUCAGGUGUCAGUGUGAGGGUUAACAGACAGUAGUCAGGCUUGCCUUUCAGUCAGGUGUCAGUGUGAGGGUUAACAGACAGUAGUCAGGCUUGAUCUUCAGUCAGGUGUCAGUGUGAGGGUUAACAGACAGUAGUCAGGCUUGCCUUUCAGUCAGGUGUCAGUGUGAGGGUUAUAAGACAGUAGUCAGGAAUGGUCUUCAGUCAGGUGUCAGUGUGAGGGUUAACAGACAGUAGUCAGGCUUGCCUUUCAGUCAGGUGUCAGUGUGAGGGUUAACAGACAGUAGUCAGGCUUGCCUUUCAGUCAGUUGUCAGUGUGAGGGUUAACAGACAGUAGUCAGGCUUGAUCUUCAGUCAGGUGUCAGUGUGAGGGUUAACAGACAGUAGUCAGGCUUGCCUUUCAGUCAGGUGUCAGUGUGAGGGUUAACAGACAGUAGUCAGGCUUGCCUUUCAGUCAGGUGUCAGUAUGAGGGUGAACAGACAGUAGUCAGGCUUGCCUUUCAGUCAGGUGUCAGGGUGAGGGUUAUAAGACAGUAGUCAGGAAUGAUCUUCAGUCAGGUGUCAGUGUGAGGGUUAACAGACAGUAGUCAGGCUUGCCUUUCAGUCAGGUGUCAGUGUGAGGGUUAACAGACAGU